GAUGAACGCUAGCGAUAGGCCUAACACAUGCAAGUCGAGGGGCAUCACAUGAAGUAGCAAUACGGAUGGUGGCGACCGGCGCACGGGUGAGUAACACGUAUGCAACCUGCCUUCAACAAGGGGAUAACCCGUUGAAAGACGGACUAAUACCCUAUAACACAGGGGUCCCGCAUGGGAAUAUUUGUUAAAGGACAACCGGUUGAAGAUGGGCAUGCGUUCCAUUAGCUAGUUGGCGGGGUAACGGCCCACCAAGGCAACGAUGGAUAGGGGAACUGAGAGGUUUAUCCCCCACACUGGUACUGAGACACGGACCAGACUCCUACGGGAGGCAGCAGUGAGGAAUAUUGGUCAAUGGACGCAAGUCUGAACCACGCACCGUCGCGUGAAGGA
rnacentral:rRNA from 1 species